UACGUAGGGUGCGAGCGUUGUUCGGAAUUACUGGGCGUAAAGGGCUCGUAGGCGGCCAACUAAGUCAGACGUGAAAUCCCUCGGCUUAACCGGGGAACUGCGUCUGAUACUGGAUGGCUUGAGUUUGGGAGAGGGAUGCGGAAUUCCAGGUGUAGCGGUGAAAUGCGUAGAUAUCUGGAGGAACACCGGUGGCGAAGGCGGCAUCCUGGACCAACACUGACGCUGAGGAGCGAAAGCCAGGGGAGCAAAGC
rnacentral:rRNA from 1 species